rnacentral:rRNA from 1 species
GUCUUACAAACUGGCAGACUUGAGUGCAGAAGAGGAGAGUGGAACUCCAUGUGUAGCGGUGAAAUGCGUAGAUAUAUGGAAGAACACCAGUGGCGAAAGCGGCUCUCUGGUCUGUAACUGACGCUGAGGUUCGAAAGCGUGGGUAGCAAACA